GAUGAACGCUGGCGGCGUGCCUAAUACAUGCAAGUCGAGCGAACAGACGAGGCUCUUGCUCCUCUGACGUUAGCGGCGGACGGGUGAGUAACACGUGGAUACCCUCCCUAUCAUACUGGGAUAACUUCGGGAAACCGGAGCUAAUACCGGAUAAUCUCUUGCACCGCAUGGUUCAUUAGUGAAAUUCGGUUUUGCUGUCACUUAUCGCUGCUUCCGGGCCGCAUUAGCUAGUUGGUACGGUAACGGCCUACCAAGGCAACCAUGCGUAGCCGACCUGAGAGGGGGAUCGGCCACACGGGAACUGAAACACGGUCAAGACGCCUACGAGAGGCAGCAGAAGGGAAUCUUACGCAAUGGGCGAAAGCAUGACGGAGCAACGCCGCGUGAGUGAUGAAGGUCUUCGGAGCGUAAAAAUCUGUUAUGAGGGAAGAACAAAUGUGUAAGUAAAUAUGCACGUCUUGACGGUACCGAAUCAGAAAGCAACGGCUAACUACGUG
rnacentral:rRNA from 1 species